UUUGGUCCGGUAUAUUAACAUAGCUACCUAUUAGGUGCCGUUGAUAUUCCGUGACCUCUCGCAUUACCUGGUUAUUUCACAAGAACAACAAAGCAACCUCAGUCUCAAGGCUUGGAUGUAUGCAUGGAGCUAUUCCAUAGGAUGAUGAUCAUGACACUAGGGCGGACCUGUGCCUUAGAGCCUAAAAAAAUGAAGUUUGAACUAGCUUAA
rnacentral:lncRNA from 1 species